GCGCCCAUAGCUCAACUGGAUAGAGCAUCAGCCUACGAAGCUGGGGGUUAGAGGUUCGAGCCCUCUUGGGCGCACCA
rnacentral:tRNA from 1 species